rnacentral:pre_miRNA from 2 species
UCUUAUGGAUGAGUGGAAAAAAAGUGGUUUCUUCAAAUAGAAUCUACUCUAGGUGAAGAUGUUGUGAA